ACAACAAUGACUUUUAUUUUAUUUGUCUGUUAAAAUUUCCACUCUAUUCUUGAGAUAAAUCUUUGAACAGGGUAUUCAGUGUAAUGUUUUAAAGAGCAUUUGUAAAUUUUACAGCUGGACAUUCGAUCAAAUGGAAUCAUAUAAUUCUCAGGAAGUUAUGCCAUUUCAAUGUUUGUGAUUCCAAAUUGUGAGACGCGUCAGGGCGGCUGGACAUUCAGUCAAAUGGAAUCAUAUAAUUCUCAGGAAGUCAUGCCAUUUCAGUAUUUGUGAUUGCAAACUGUGAGACGUGUCAGGGCGGGUUACUGUUACGUUAUGGUUAAAGUGUAGUCUGAUCUUAUUUCCGUUAUAUCGAGAAACAAAAAUUGCAACGAUAAUCGGGAAAUGUUAAAUCUAAACUAUA